rnacentral:tRNA from 1 species
GGGGAUUUAGCUCAGUGGUAGAGCGCUUGCCUAGCAAGCACAACAAGGCCCUGGGUUCGGUCCCCAGCUCCG